UUUUAGCCCCGAUUGGAGCAAUUGUUUGAGCUCCUUUUUUUGUUUUUUUCAAAAAAAGAGCGAGUGCGAAAAGCGGGAAAUAGC
rnacentral:sRNA from 1 species